rnacentral:rRNA from 1 species
UACGUAGGGUGCGAGCGUUGUCCGGAAUUAUUGGGCGUAAAGAGCGUGUAGGCGGCCAGGUAGGUCGGUUGUGAAAACUGGAGGCUCAACCUUCAGAGGUCGAGCGAAACCAUCUGGCUAGAGUCCGGGAGAGGAGAGUGGAAUUCCUGGUGUAGCGGUGAAAUGCGCAGAUAUCAGGAAGAACACCCGUGGCGAAAGCGGCUCUCUGGAACGGUACUGACGCUGAGACGCGAAAGCGUGGGGAGCGAACAGG